rnacentral:rRNA from 1 species
GUCAGCUCGUGUCGUGAGAUGUGGGUUAAGUCCGCAACGAGCGCAACCCCUAUUGUUAGUUGCCAUCAUUCAGUUGGGCACUCUAGCGAGACUGCCGGUAAUAAACCGGAGGAAGGUGGGGAUGACGUCAAAUCAUCAUGCCCCUUAUGACCUGGGCUACACACGUGCUACAAUGGUUGGUACAACGAGUUGCGAGUCGGUGACGGCGAGCUAAUCUCUUAAAGCCAAUCUCAGUUCGGAUUGUAGGCUGCAACUCGCCUACAUGAAGUCGGAAUCGCUAGUAAUCGCGGAUCAGCACGCCGCGGUGAAUACGUUCCCGGGCCUU